rnacentral:rRNA from 1 species
GACGAACGCUGGCGGCGUGCUUAACACAUGCAAGUCGAGCGGUAAGGCCCUUUCGGGGGUACACGAGCGGCGAACGGGUGAGUAACACGUGGGUGACCUGCCCUCAGCUCUGGGAUAAGCCUGGGAAACCGGGUCUAAUACCGGAUAUGACUCCAUGACGCACGUUGUGGGGUGGAAAGCCUUGUGCGGCUGAGGAUGGGCCCGCGGCCUAUCAGCUUGUUGGUGGGGUGANGGCCUACCAAGGCGACGACGGGUAGCCGGCCUGAGAGGGCGACCGGCCACACUGGGACUGAGACACGGCCCAGACUCCUACGGGAGGCAGCAGUGGGGAAUCUUGCGCAAUGGGCGAAAGCCUGACGCAGCGACGCCGCGUGAGGGAUGACGGCCUGGUU